UUAAAUGUACAAUGAGUUCAGAGCCUGAGAGGGAUUCAGUGCAAAGGAUAUUGAGUCCUACAACCACAUGAGACUGAUUUCUGCUAGCAACCUGGAAGAGCUUCUGAGCAGAUUCUUCCCAGAGCCUCCAGAAAGGGA